CUUUUUUUGUUGUUUCUCAUUUUUCAGACACUGCUUCUUCUAUGAUCUGCUGUUGUUGUUUUCUAUUUUUUCUUCUUACAAUCCCUUAACUAUAUACUUGGGACUCUUUCCCUUGUGCAUUUUUAGCACGCUGCAUGCAUUUGACGUAGUCAAACUGAGAGCUUGAGAUAAGUAUUUAAAGUAACAAAACGAAUUUCCUCUUUUAUCUUUCAGACUUUGUGUAAUGACUGGGGGAAAAAGAAAAAAAGAAAGGAAAAAAAGACAAGCAGGUGAAAUGUUUUAAAUGAAACCUAGAACUGUAAGGAAAUAUACUCUUAUGUAUCAUUUUCUGAUCACCAUAAUGUCAGCUGGGUGAAAGGCUUCAGAGUGGUUUACUUCUGAAGAAUCACUUGCCUGGAUUUCAGCAACUGCCUUUGGGAAGAGCCUGGAACAACACAUCUGCUGACACCCCUGUGUAAUCAAAGGGAGGCAUUUAUUCAAGAAGAGGUUGGUUUGGUGCAGUGCUUGGAACAAAACAAGAGCAAACAAAACCCGACAGCGCUGAAUGCUGCACCCUUGCUGCAUGGUGGAAGUAACUUGAGGAUUUUACUGAGAGUCUCAGCAUUCAGCCUUGCAAUACAUCUUCUCUAAUAUGAGGACUGAUCAGCUUGCUUUCAUAGCCACGUAGGGGAAACGAAGGUAGAAGUUGCUUGAAUCCCGUUAGCUCUUCUGGCAAGAAGCAGGACAUCAGUGACUUGCUAGCUGAGAUCGAGAAGCACUCUACAGUGUCCCAUAUGCCGUGACUCUGCUGGAUGAACAGUGUGGUCACAGUGACUUUUGGAGCGAUGGUCACCGCUGGAAGUAAAGGAAAUUUUGGUUCCCAAAACCAGAAGGAAGGAAGUAGAGGAAGGAGCAGCAUGAGAGCUACCACAAGAAUGUGAUAAGAAAGGAGAGAACUGGAAAUGUGAGAGGUGCUGCCAAGAAGAAAGGUCUGAGUUCCUAUUGUGCUGGAACUGCUGCAUGAAAACAAAUUUGCCUGAGUGUUUCUACCAAACUCUGCAGGCUUGAGCACAGGCAAACAUGUUCAUCACAGUAUUGCCUUCCUGAGACCAGAAUGCCCAAUGAAGGACAGCUGAUCAGCUAGGAGUCCCAUCAGAUAUGUUACAGCUUGGGAUGACUUUGAGCUCAAUAACACCUACAGAACCUGUUGAGAUGUUCCCUAGAUCCUAGCCAGAUGUAAACCCUCCCAAAACAAGGGUAACAGAGCAGCCUGAUGUUUCCAGAGUGCGAUUUUGCCUUGAAGCCUAGGUGAGUAAUGGGUAUAAAUUACCAAUGGUCUACUUAUUUUUUGUUUUACCUCAUGGUAUAUUAUUGGGUAUUCUUCUGCCAACCGAUAGCUUGCAGCUAUGCAAGCCUCAGACAGACAGGCUAGAUCUAGGGAAGCACAAAACCACUUGAUUCUUGUCUUAUAUCUAGGUUGUAAAGGCUUUGGCCACGAACGCUUUUGUUUGCUUGUUUUUUCAUGUGUGUAGCUAGGUAACGUAUCUUGGCCAACUCCGUGACAGUUGUCUUGGGCAUGGCUGCACUGCAACCAGAAAGUCAUUACCAGCAGACUAUCAGCCCUCAGUGCAUGCAAGUUUCUGAUGCUUGCUUGAGAGCUGAAGCACUUGUGGAGGUUUAAUCGAAAUCUGAAUACAUGUGACUGAAAUUGGCUCUCUGUGAUUAUUUAUACAAGUAAAUCUCUGCUUCUCAGAAGUUCCCAGAAAUCAAAUGCCAGCCUUGUCUGAUCAUUUUUUUAAAGGAGUAAAUAUUUGUUGAAAAAUUCUUUGCUAUAUUAAUUUUGCUCUGCUGCCCUGAUAGGGAUGAGGAGGGACUCCUGGUGUGCAUCAAUCAGCCUUCAGUGAAGAGGGACCAAAAUAGCUGAUCCAUAACAUGCUAUCCUCAGAACGAAACCCAAACUUUUCAGGUAUCCCAGCAAAGAUCUUAAAGUAGCUCAUUUUCCCUCAUACAUCUGCAUAGCCAGCUAAAAUAUUCCAGGAAAUGUUCCUCAUUUCAACACUGGGUACGUCAGGUACAGGUAUCUUAAGCAGGAGGUAGUUUAAGUAGUGACGCAUAUUUCCAUGUUUUCCUAACCCCCACUUGAAAGCACAUCUGCCAGUAAGUGGUUUGUAACUUGACAGUCAGCCACGGCUAUUUUUUCAGUGCUGUAUAAUGUUCUCAUUCCCUGUUGUUGACCUUUUUUUUUUUCUUUCACUUUCUCUCUUUUUUUUUUUUCUUUUUGUGGUAACCCUUUUACCUUCUUUUCCCCUGCUCAGACCCAUUAGCAGGAUGUUGUGCAAUAUGGUGCUUGUCAUCUGUUUCAAAGACACAGUGAUGAGAUACAGGUAUGCCAGAUGGAUAAACCUAGUGUGACUAAUUAUUGUGUAUUUGCCUUUAAUUAUUAUCAUUUAUUACCAGAGAAAAGACAAUAGAGGUUCUCAGACUCGGAAGGGAAUGUCGGCAGAAGGGGAUUGUUUUCUUUUUUUAUUUAUUUUUUGCAAGAGAGUGGCACAUCAGCAAGAAAACUUUUCUUCCUGAGGAGAAAUGUGUGUAAACGUUGAGACGAGAAGUCAACGUGACCCAUGCAGGUCUUUCCUUUCCCUGACAUACUUGAGAAUCGGAUAUCUCACAGGUAGUAGUUUAUCUGUGAUUACAGAUCAACUUUUCCUUUGCUUGAAUGUGUGUAAUGAGUAUGUGGGUAUCCUUCAGUCAUCUACGUGGGUAUUUUCCCUGAUAGAAAUUAUAUCUGUAAGUUCGUAAGUUGUAAUUUUUAAGUAAAUUAGGCUCGGGGUAGCAAAUAUCAUUGAAGGUUUCAGUGCCAUCAGGCUGAGCCUCGCAAUCUUUGAAUUGAAUUUGCCUCCAUAUUUGACCCUAACAUAUAGGAUCCCUCUGGUGCUUGGCAUAUGUGUAGACUUUUCUCUUCCAGGUAUUGUAAACUUAUUAUCACUAAGAAUCCUUCAAAAAUACAGAUGAAACAUUUAAAAUAAAGAGGACAUCUCUGAUGCAUCUCUGUUAGCCUAGGCCACUUUUCUGAGCUCAGGAUCUACAGCCAAGCAUGCUGGGCUACUUUGAGAAUCAUGGAAUGUCUUGGGCUGGAAGGGACCUUAAAGCUCACUCAGUUCCAACUCCUGCCAUGGGCUGGUUGUCCCCCACCAGCUCAGACUGCCCAGGGCCCCGUCCAACCUGGCCUUGAAUGCCUCCAGGGAUGGGGUAUCCACAGCUGCUCUGGGCAGCCUGGACUAAAGGUUGAUAUCAUUAUAAAACUUUUGGAAAUGUUAAUAAUAUAGCUCCCAAAGCUGCUUUCAGGUUACAGCUGAAUCAUCUAUUAUUUACUAGCGCAGGCAGGAUUAUGAUGGCUCAUAAUUUUGAUCUUCUUGCUUAUGGGGCACAGCACUUUAAUUUGGGAGCAGCCAUACUGAUUUGGUAAAUAGAUUGAGGAAGAGCUUCAGACAUGGGCUUUAAAAUUCAUGAGGAUCUGAUUUAGUACAUCUUACACCAAUAUUUUUGCAUAUUGACUCUGUGGCUAAAUCACAUCAUAACCUAGAGGACCAGUGAUCACCAUGAUCUAUCAUAGAUAGCACAAGGCAUAAUCAAUGUUGCUAGUCUGCUAAAAUAUUUCUAUAUAUAGUAUGUGUCAGAAGAAUACAUGCAAAGCUACUACAAGAAACAAAGUCCGUACAUGGACCAUUUACAAACAGGAGAAAGGGCUAAAUUUGCCACUGUUUGCUCUGAAUAGCUUACCCAGAUUACAGGCCAAUUUUGUUUUGGACAGAAAUAUUUUCCAUUGCAGAGUCUGCUAAAGUCAACUGAGUGCUAUUCCUUUGGCUGCAGGAUGGGCUGAAGGCUGGGCUGUAUUUUGGGAUUGGCAGCUCUGUCCGUCUCCCUUUAACCCAUUUGACCGCAGUUUGACUGGGACUUGACUGAGCACUUAAUUCUGUAAUUGCCUUGACUAUGGACUCCUACUCUUAAACCUAUUGCAAUGUUGUUAAUAUAUAGCAAUGAAAAGCUGCCCCGAUAACCAAAAAAUAUUGUGUUAAGUUGACAGACCGGGUAUUAAAAAUGCAGAACCAGCCUAAUGAAAUAACUUGCCUUUGGUUGCAAGAACCUUCAUCAUAAGAAGAUUUAAGGCUAAUCUGACUUGGAGCUGCUUCAUUCCAAUUAUUUUUCAGGAAUUUUGGGGGCUUUAUUUUUCUUUUCAACAUCAUUAUUCUGUCUUGACAGUUCUUAUUUUGUUAAUUUUUUUGCAUACUGAGUAAAUGAGAAAUCAGUUCACAACCAUUCUUAAGGAGAAAUGAAAUGCCCAGUAAUCCAAUUUUGAUCAAAAUGCAUCUUUGCUUUUCAGGGACCGACCGGCCUGUGCAGUUAUCUCCACAUGCACAGAGUUGAUAAUAAAGCAAAGUAAAGCUCGCAUUCUUUUCCCAGUGAGAGAAAAUCUCACGUGGUGGGAACGGGGCAUUGUUCAGCUGGAGAACAAUGUGCUGUUCCCCCAGCAUGUGGCAAAGCUGAGAAUGACAAGAUGAUUUCUCCCUGUGCUUCUACUUUUGUUUCUCAAAUGUUUACAGGCCCGGAGUAAGCCUUUUCUUCACCCUUGCUGGGUGGUUCGGUUCUCUUUCCUGGAAACCUUUCUUUCUCUCCUGAUGCCUUGUGUUUGCAGAAGAUAGCUCACUACUGCAGAACUUUUCCCAAAAGCAGCCUUGAGAAGAAGAUACAGACCCAGCUGUUUUCACAGACCUGUUUUAAAACUCCUCUGCCUUCUGUUUCAGCAUCCAUUGCCACUUGGUUUUACAAAAAAAAACCCACAAAACAACGAACACGGAAGAAGCCAAAGCGCAUCACAAAAAUACAAUCCCUUUCCAAAGAGUGUCUGCACAAACAAGCUUUGUGUGUCUCACAUGGUGCAUAGAGGUAUUCCCCAUAGUCCAUUGGGUUUUCUCUGGGACUGUGCCGGCCUCAGUGAUUCCAGCUUAGUCCCUAACUGGUUUUUAUUCACCUUUGCCCUUUAGAACUUAUACCUAAAGGAGCCACUGCAUUCCUCUUGUGCAACAUCAGCAAAAUUGGUGGCUUUGAAAUGUUUGCUUGCAAUCAAGCAAAGCUGCUCCACUUCUGUGAAUGUCCUUCUUCCUUCUCACCAACUCCUCAUCAACUCCUCCUAUUGAACAGACUUUUUUCCUAUUCAUUUUUAUUUGCCAUCAGUUUACUUUUCCACAUUCUCAGAGUUCCUGAUCGUGUUUAUGCUUCUGCCGAUUUCAAUGGCUGUGUACUGAUGUUGCUUCAGAUGAAUAAGCAGUGGAGAGAGAAAAAUAAAUGGUUUGAGGACUCUACAUGAAGUACGUGAGUAGUUAUUGGAUGGAGGUGUUGGAUGGGUGUGGAUAAACAUGUAUAUGAACAAAGGUAAGGGAUAAUAGGUAUACGAAUGGAACCAGAUGCAUUGUAUCUGGGCAUUAUCUUCCAUUGGGGUCUCAAAGUGCUUUGAAACCCUGCUGAAUUGUUUUUAGAUUCCUCCACCUGAGCUAUGGUGCAACUACAUUUAUACUGCUUAAUGAGCUGAUUCCAGGGUUGAGAGUAGACUGUGGAUUUCCAAGCUUCCCAUUAAUUCCUCAGUAUUUUAUCUGUAUUUUAAAGGGCUCUAGCAGCUUAGAAAAAUAAUGACCACUGUCCAUUAGUUCAAGAGAAGACAAUGCAAAGGGCAUUUUUCUAGGAUGAGUCAGAGUACUGAGUAGCAACAAGUUUUAUUAACUGACAGAGCUUAUUUCCCAGAUAUCUGUCAGUGUAUCAUCGCCCAUCUGUUUAAACCACUUGGGAUUCCGAGCCCACAAGAUUCUGGGAAGAAGGUUGUAACAGAGCAAUGCACUCCUGUGUGCUCCGAAAGAAAGUUGGCCACACACCUGAGUCCGGGUUGUCAGAUGAAGCAAGUAUUAGGUGCGAGAAUCUGUUGUUCAGUAAUCGUCUUGGCAUUGUAAGUAACAGCCAAUUGUUUCCUAAAGGGGGGAGAUGAGAAAGAUAACAAAUCACUAUGGGAUACUAUGAAAAAGAUCUCUUCCUAGACUUGCAGUAGAUGACUUCUUUUCCAUGGCAUUUGGAAACAGCCAUGCUUAUAACUAAAAAAUUCAAUCUUUUGAAACAUUCUGUUGCCUUUCCGAGUUACCUUUAUUUUCAUUUACAUGUCACUUGUUACUUUCUUGUUUGUAUCUAUUCUUUUCAAGACAACUUGUGGUUUCUUGACUCUUCACCCUUUCCGUUUUCCUCACCAUCUGACCUUAGAGCAUUCCUCUUUUUUUCUCUCUGAAAAUCUGCCUGCUGGUAUUUUUCCAUGAAUCCAUCUGCAUUGAAUUAUUUAUAGUUACAAUAAAGUCUGCUUUUGUCUAAUGUUUAUUUUCUUUAAUGACAAGAAACAUGGGGAAAAUGUUCCAAAGAACCGAAAAAGGACUUGACUUUUCCUGGACGCUAGGCAACGGUAGCCAAAAAGUACAAAACAAGCCAUAGGAUGUUCGUAAGAUGAUUUCUAAAAAUAAUAAUACUUAGUACUUUGGUAUCUAAUGUGCUUUUUUGCCUUCAUUAUAUUUCCCAGAUCUGGACCUCGGUUAUAAUGUUGUCAUGUCACCCUGAAGGCUGCAGUAGACAAGGAACUACUGUAGAGGCAACCUGGAGCAAUAAGCAGGUGGAUACAGCUGAUGGAGGCCAGGCUUCUGCUACCUGUUUCUUGUCCUAGGUGUUUUAUACAGGUCACGGAACUCUCUUAUGCUGGUCGUUUCUGGACAGUGGGUUUAUCUUGUGUCUGGUAGAACUUAGAGCAAACGAUAUAUCUUACUUGAUGAGUCAUUGCUAGUUCUUUGUUACCUUUUACUGCUUGUUUGAAUUGAGUUUUCAUUAUGAUUUAAAGGCUUUUCCCAUCUUCUUUUCCAGUGGAGGGUUUAUGUUGCUCAUAUGCCUUGUUUUCUCUUCAAUUAUGUGAGUCAUGCAAGCAUUUCCCCUUGAACACUUUCCAGCAUCCCCCACCCCAUAUCUCACCCCUCCAUGUCCUCCUCCUCGUUUACUCAGCUCCAUUCUCUUCUGUGUUUCCUGCACUGCCUACAGUGAUUGCACUUAGCGUGGAUGCUAUGGAGGAGGGAAUAUGAAAAGCAAGAAGGUAAAGAAAGGACUUCUGUGGAAUCUGCAUGAACUGAAGCAUGACAAAGGCUGAAGUUAUAAAAUAAGUGAUAGGAGGAAUGGAAGAGAGGAGCAAGUUAAAGUCCAGGUCCUGAGUGACAAUAGACACUCUCAGCAUGGAGCUCUGAUGCUUAAAACACGGGAGAAAAGUAGGAUGCUGGUACCACAGAAUUAGUGUGCUCCAAACUUUGGGCUGUACCUCCUGGCCAGGGAUGAAAUCUGCCUCCAGGCCCAUGCUCCCCAAGCACCUUCGUACUCAGCACGUUGCCCUGCUUAUCCCCAGACACACCGAGAGCCUGGGCAAGGGAAGUCCUCCGGGAUGAAACAUGGGGAGCUCCUGCUGAUGAGCCUGUAGGACCUUACAGCUCCUUGUGUGUCUGCUUGCUGUGCCUUGGCUGCAUAGGAACUGCUUACCUGAUCUCCAAGGGUUGAAGUCAGGAAGGAAUUCUUCCUCUCCAUCUGAUCACAAAGGCUGCUUCUUUCAUCUGCUGCAAUUCAAGGCUUGGUCUCCCUCCUGGAUGUGUUCACAAUCACCCUCCCUGCUGUUGCUGGGACCCGAUAUGUCGGCACGGCUCUUGACCUCUCCUCAUGCAAACCUUCCCUGCCUGGCAAAUAGGGAAUUUUGCCCUCCUUAAUGGGAGCUGCACUGUCUGAUGGCUGCCUGAUGAAGUAGGAGCUCAACAGGCCACCUCUGCACCAAACAAUCCCAUACAUCAGAGGCCAUCCCUUUGAAUUCAACAGCUUUUCUGGUGCGAAGAGAGGAUAUUGAAAACCCAGCCUUAAAUCACACUUUUCAGAGGUCUUUGGGGUAACAGAGAACAGCAAGCCACUUGUGAUCCACAAAGGAAAAUGGCAGCACAAGCAACAGGAUUGAACUUCUGCAGUAGUGGUGAUGGUGUGCCACCUGGCUGUGGAAUCAUGCGCAAGGCUGCAAGGGUCUGUGUUUCCUAUGGCACAAGAAGACUACCAGCUGAGGCAACAGGCUAGAGAUUCCUCCAGUACUGUUUCACAGAAUCAUAGAAUAUCCUGCGUUGGAAAGGACCCACAAAAGUCAUAGAGUCCAGAUCCUGGAGGGGACUCUUUGAGCUUUCCACUUUCGGCUUUGUGUCGUUGGCCAAGGAGCUGCCUUUCCUGCAGUUAACAGCAUCAGGGCUCUGCUCCUUGCUUUCUGCAAGGUCCUCUGUUCAUCCCCUCAGGGCGGCAGCAGUGGCUCAUCUGGGCAGCUGGCUGCCUUGUGGAAGAACCCCAUUUUGGGACCUGCAACAAUAUCAGUGUUUGCGUCAAGAAAAAGGUUGAACUCUCUCCUGAGAAAGUCAGUCUGUCUGUAUGGAAGGAGCAAGACAAGCACUCAGACACAAGUCCCAGCUUGGCAGCUGCAGCCCCUGUGAUUCAAAAUACCAACACCACCACCUGGAAAUCCAUCUCAGAUGCCGCUCCUUCUUCAAGCAGAGUUUCCCACCUGUCUCAAACCAGGGGUUUUAGACAAUCAUGGAACUACCUGUGAAUAAUGCUGUGGUUCUGCUUCCUCCAGUGUGUCUUCAUAGGCCUGAUGUCAGCUUCUUUCUUGUGGAGACAAAGAAUGUCACCAUGAAUGUCCAUUGGCAAACUGGAUAAGAAGGAGUGUCACAGUGCAGGACAACCUAGAAAAUGACAGGUAUUUCCAGGCAUAGCAAUGAUGAGAUCAAAUUCCCCUCAACCUGCCUUGUUUGCUGAUCUUUUAAUCAGAUUCAACUUCACUGCAGCUACAGCACAAGGUUCCCUGACAAUGUAUGACAGCAUGUGACAGAAAAAUAUUUUGAUUUUGGUUUGUUUUUUGUUUUGGUUUUUUUUUGACCAUUUGAUGCUAUUUCAGAUAUAUCUGAAGCCCUGGCAGCAUCUGCUAAAUCUACCGAACUGUUUUAGUGGAGGUUUUUAUACUUGCAUAAUUGAACCAGAGGGUUUGGGGGUUGUGUUCAUGUGCGUGUAGGGGAAUCCAAACAGGAAAGCUGGGAAAUGAUCUAAACCCUUUGAGGUUAACGUGCCAUGAAAGAGCAUCAACGACCGAAGAGGACAUUAUUAAAAAGCAGCCAACCCAGCUCAAAAAGAACCACUGUGUGAAGCAAGAGCCUGCAGAACAACACCCAGGGCUGUUUGUGAUCCCACUGGGAUAUGUAUUUCAUCCCCUGUCUUCAUAUCUCCAGAUUUCCUCUGAACUGCUUCUGAGACGCAUUCUCGAAAAAGAAAAACACCAGCAACUACUGAAUGCCUCUUAUCAACCUUUUCCCCGCAAUCUGUUUCGUAUUCGUCUCACACCCUUGUUCUCGCAGUGUCUUGGGGAAAUGCUCGGAUCAAAGAUAAGAGAGAACAAGGAAAGGAAUGAAGCAAGAGGCAAACAACAAAACAAAACCACCCCCACCCCCCCCCCAAACUUUCUGACUAAACUUCUCUGCGAACCGUGUGCACGAUUACAGCACUGUUAAAACUGCCUUCUUCUUCGCCAGUACUUAAUUCCUGCUUUUAAAAUCAGGCUCCCUUUGAUCUUGAGGAUUGAAAUGAUCUGGAAAUGAAACAGCCAUUGCUUUGCAGAAAAUCUGGAUAGGGUCCCAGGCAUGGCUUUUACCUGGAAGGAUUCCAAAAUAGGAUGAAAUCUCUCCGGUUUCAGAACAAAUUGCAAGAUUUUUCUCUAUGUCUAGGCCAACUGUGGAACUCCAGCCCUGACGUCUGCUAGUUCCCAAAGCGCAGAUGUAAUAACCUCUAAGGUAAACUGUGGGCCCUAUUCCUCCAUUUUCUCCCCUCUGCCUCUCCUUCAAGGAUCAAAUGUUUGGAGAAUUUUAUUAAAACAAAGACUUAAAUUUCUGAGCAAACUUAAGUUGAGGAGACAGUUGCUUAUAACCUGGGCUAGGUUCAGCCACAGGAGGGUUGGGCAGGACAGAGGACCAGGAGCAUCUGUAACAUCUGGAUCUUGUUGCAUGCGAAGAAAUAUCUGCCUGGCUUUGCACAACCUGAUCCCAGAGCCAAAAGGGCUGAGAAAUGUGGUUAAGAGACGAUGAAGCUCACUUUGCCCUACCAAAUAAGUCCCACUGAGAAAGUAAGCACAUCAAUAUUUCUUUGAGUGUUUUUCUUCUAGUUCAUAUAUUUCCAUAUGCUGCAUGAAUAUUUCUUUUAUUGGGGAUUGCAAGUCCAUCUGGUAGUUGUAUCGGGAAGGCUUGAGCUGACAGAUCCCUACUCUGUGCUCUGUUACAGAGAUUUGGACUGCUCUUAUAGGAAUCAUAGAAUCACAGAAUCAUUAAGGUUGGGAAGACCAAUAAGAUCCUCUAGUCCAACCAUCAACCCAUGCCUGUGACUGCUCUAGACCAUGUCUCUCAGUGCCACAUGUCCGCAGUUCUUGAACACCUCCAGGGACGGUGACUCCACCACCUCCCUGGGCAGCCUGUGCCAAUGCAUCUCUUUCUGAGAAGUUUUUCCUAACAUCCAACCUGAGAACAGUUGUUGAUCAGGUACAGACAACUAGUCAUCAACUAUCCUUUUAGUUAGAACUUCCCAAAGAAAUGCAGGCUUUUAAGUUACUUACUAUUGCUAUGUUCCCACCGUGUCGUUUUUUUUUAGGUUAUUGUAUCUGAAGGACAGCAGUCAGCAAGAAAGAAACCUCUCUCUCUGUAUGUAGUUCUCAGUGCACCAACUCUGACCUGGGAAUCAUAAAGGAGAAAGGAUGCCUGAACAUCAGUACUAAGCAGAAAAUGUGCUGAGAUGUCACAGUUUGCCAAGACAACGAGAAUCACUUUCCCUUGUAUGUAUUAUUACAGAACAGGGGAAUAAUUAUCUGCUUUCAUACAAGCUUUUUCCUUCUGCAUGAUUAACUUCACUGAUAUCAAUAGAGAGUGUGAUGACUCUGAAAUGACAGCUCCUGGUAGCACGUUCUGGGAUUAGCACAAACAGGUUGUCACUGUACCCCUGUUAGGAACAGUCAGUCUUGUCAUGCUGAGUGCAGGACAGAAAAGCCAGGCUGGGACCAGGCAUCUGCCACCACCCUGUCUGUCUUCAUGGGUGGCUCUCAGUUUGGGAUAUAGGGCUGGCUACUUCAAUGGGGCACAAUGGCCUUCAUGCAGACCCGCAGGAUGGCAGCGGAGAAGCUUCCAGAUCCAAAUCACCUGGUCAUCCUUGUGCUAAGGGAUGAGUUGCAGCCUAAAAUCUGCAUUCUUCAGCUCAUGGAAUGGUUGAAUGGAGAGGAAGGUCAGAGAUGCGAGAGAGCAAGUCGAGGUAUUAGUAUGAAACAACCAACCUAUCCUUUUACUAAAGUUGUAAAAGAAUCUGUCAUAGGUCUCCUGUGGAAAUUAAUCAAUGUAUGGAAAACUGGAUAACAACUAUGGGGACAACAGGAAUGUGCCUAUAAAUUAAAAGAAGCUAUUGUGAGCAUGCAGAGCUAUCUGGGGAAGGCACUGGGGCAGGAUAGCAGUGCUCAGUGGAGCUAGGACAGGGUCCACAUAAAGGGAUUCUUCAGUAAAGUCCAUACUUUGUCAAUGUCAAGAUACACGGGAACUGUAAAACAAAGCAAACUGUGUGCAUGGAAUGAAAAUAGAAAUUUAGUCCAUCAUCGUGUGCCUUUGAAAACGUCAUAAUCCUUUUAAAAAGAUGACAAAAUAUCUGUGUAUUUUUUAAGAAACGUAGCAGGUGAAAGGAUUCAUUCUCAAAAAUCCAUGAAGUGUACAGUGAUGAGUUAUUGAGGAUUGGGGGGGAGGGUGUUUUUGUAAUUCUGUAGGCAUCUCAGUCCUCUGGUGAAAUGAUGUAUGGGGCAAUCGUCUGGUAGGGGCUGAUGGGAUGUAAAUGAAACUAAUUAAGGAAAUGUCAAACAUAAUUAAUAAAACAGGUUUAAGUUGCAAAAGCACUGUCAGCUGAAUGAAUGGGGAAGAGUGUGGCAUUCCCAUUGUUGUGGGGCUUGCUUGCUUAUUUAUAUAUUUAUUUAUUUAUUCCUCGCUCACCCCCUUGGCCUCCCACCAGCUCUGCAGUUGCAUCAUUCAAUUAGAUCUCAGAAAGCUCUUGCUAGACGCUUGCAUUUCCUCCUUGCCCCCCUUCUGAGCAGGGGUCCCAUAGAAUAGGAGGAAUAUAAAUUUGCCCUGUCGAUUUGCAGCCUGGGAAGAAGAAGAAAAAAAUUAAUUGCUAACUCCUCAUCUUCCCUAAGUACUACAGGACAUUAACAUAACCAAUUUGCUUGAACUCCUCACUGGCUGCUUAAUAGAGCAUCUGACCAGCUGAUAAGACCUGGGUGCUGCUGCCUAUGAUACCUUGUUAUUAGCAUUUUCAUAAUAUUCAGAUAUUACAGCCCCAUGAUUCACUAGCCUCCAUUCAUUAUUGAUAAGUACAAAAAAUAAAUAAAAAGGGUUUAUAAAUUGCAAAAGGGGGUGAGCGACCUAUAAUUAUGGCAAGCAAAUUAGGGUGCAUGGUAGAGUCAGUUACAUUUGCCUAGGAGUAAUGAUGCUCAAGAACUUUUUCUCCCCAGGGACCAGAAAAAUAAUGGAUUCCCUGGCAGCUGCAGAUGGGCUAGGAAAGGCUGUCAUCCAGGACACUGUUUAUAUAAGUUAGGCUGAGCAUAUGGCUCUGCGUCCUGCCUGUAGCCAUCUCCAGAUAAUGCCAUUUCAAUGACAUUAAAUAAAUACAUAAAUAAAAAUAACUGGGCAGUGGUGGUGGUGGUGAAGGGAUACGAGGAGGAGAAAAAAACAAACAGGUUCAAGAGGGUCCACAGCAAAGUUUCUACUGAGAGCAUUCCCAGCAGCUCAGCAAUCCCAUAGGGGUGUUACCCAUAAAGGCAGAGUCUGCCCAGCUGAAUGACUGCAGAGAAAAAGAUGAAAUGCUAUUUCUGCUAAAGCAAAACCUCUUCCAUGUUCCAGUCUAAGACAGAUGUAUUUAUACACCAAAGCUUUGUGCCUGAGAUGAUAGAAAACAUGGUUGCAAGUAGGAGCUACUAGAAAUAACCACUGGAUACUUUAUAAUUUAG
ensembl:lncRNA